UGUGUCAGCAGAGAAAAGCAGUGAUCUGAACAGAGGAUGUCAGAUUGUGGUCAUUGGGGUUGGUUGACUGGCUGAUCUGGUGGAAAGGAGCUAAUGGAGCAGACAUGUUGAGUAGUGGGCUUCUAUAUUUCUCGUGGGAAGGAACUAUGGUGUAUUUAGUGUUAAUGUACUUUCUCUAUGUCUCACAGUCUCGCGUCCUCUCUCCUCAUCUCCUCAAAACCCAUUGGAUGAGAAAACCAGAGGUCCCUCCCUUCUGACCUUUUCCUCCAAUGGGUUUUGAAAAGGAGGCGAGAAGAGAGGACACGAGGAGUAUGCAACUGAGAUUCUCCUCUCUCACCCCGCCCCCCCCCCGUCCCCCUCAGCCUGAGAUCAUCUCUUUGUCACAGACAAGAGCUAAGGACUCUUCUACCCUUCUGACCCCUUCCCUGCCCUCUCCUGCCCUUCCUUGCCAGCAUGAGGAGUGAUGAGAUGACCAGAGAAAAAGCAGACUAAACACACCUAGCCUUAGAGUGACACUGACCUCAGUCUCUUCCCGUUCAACAGAACCACACACACACACACCCAGGCCCAGCCUUGUCUCCUACUCCUAUCCCAUGUCUAACCCUAGCACCAACUGUAUCCCCAACCCCUGUUCAACACCUGUCUCUCUGACCCUAACCAUAGAACCAGCUGUAUCCCCUUAACCACUGAUAGUGUUAAUAAUCCCAGGAGAAGACUGCUGGGUGAGCCAGGAAGAUGGAGGUGUGGAGAUGAACUCGUUGUGAUAAGGCACUCAGUGUAGUUGAGAAGUAUUUGAUACUGACAGGAAAUGACAGUGCUGUAGAACUAUACAUGCUGUACUGUAAUUAGAACUUUCCCAUGUGGUCUGGGAGUUAUAGGCAGAACAUUACUGUGGAAAAACAUAAUCAGCUGGACAGAUUUCCUGAAUCUCUACUAUUAUGAAGAAAUCCAACAGGAGUGGCAAACGCUUCCUGAACCGCACUGUUGGUUAAGGGCUUGUCCAGCAGCAUUAACCCCGUAACGAAUAACUCUCCACCCAGCAGGGAACAGGCGGGGGAGUUUCCUGUGGGAGGAGGUCGACACGUUUGGUUAUCUAGGAGUCUAGCGGACGUUUGGCCUGGAAUGGGUGUGAAAGGGUGGGGCAGGUGUGGAGGCAGUGGCCAGUUGUCCAGGGGGGCUGGGUGGUAAUACAGCCCACGGACCCAUCGCCAAACUUGGCAGAGACCAGGCAGCAAGGUCACCCCGUCAUCCAGUUCUCCCUGGCAGACAGGACUGAGCCAUACCCAGGGCAGAGAGACCUGGCCAGUGAACCGCAUGCAGUGCUCAGCCCAUUCCAGUGGUUAAAUGGUCUGGUCUGUACCGGAUCUCAUUAUCGAACAAGCCACAGAGUAAAGUGCUUCUCAG
ensembl:lncRNA